rnacentral:tRNA from 1 species
GGGGCCAUAGCUCAGCUGGGAGAGCGCCUGCUUUGCAAGCAGGAGGUCGUCGGUUCGAUCCCGACUGGCUCCAC